CAAAGCACACUUCACUUUCUGCCAUUCUACCCUUCAGGAUGGGCUGCUUUGAGAGCUCCAGCUGCUGGGUACAUGGGGUUGCCCAAGAGUUUCUGCUGCCAUUUGGAAAUCUAGAGGAAAACUCAACUCCAAGUGAUUUCAAGGGAAGAAUUCAAAGUGUGACCAAAACCAAAUAAUCAGCCCUCUGUCACAUGCUAGGGAGCUUUGGAAGGGUCCCUCUGAAACUCGUUGGGAUUGAUUUUGCUGCUGCAAUGGGUUAUUACCGGCAAACCCUGGACAACCACUCCCAAAGAACACAUCUGUCUGAUGGAGUUCAAUCUUUGGAGACUUAAAGUGCUCACUCAAAUGCACUGAACAAGAGGAAUGCUUCAGCUCCAAUCAGCUCCUGUCUUCUUUGGCAAUGCUGGCCUUGAGGCUCUGCCUAAUGAUUGCAACCUGUGAUCCCAGUUUGUGCUGCAGAGGUGGCUGAAGUUUUUAGACCUCAUUUUCCCCUUGAUUUGGACAAAGCCAGCAAAUAAGACCCAUAAUUUCCAGAUUCUAUAUUUGUGUUUGUUUCCUCUGUGUGAUCCAAACACUGCUGUGUGUCUGCCUAUGAUGGAUGUUAAGAAA